rnacentral:rRNA from 1 species
UACGUAGGGCGCGAGCGUUGUCCGGAAUUAUUGGGCGUAAAGAGCUCGUAGGCGGCUUGUUGCGUCUGCUGUGAAAUCCCGGGGCUUAACCCCGGGCGUGCAGUGGAUACGGGCAGGCUGGAGGCAGGCAGGGGAGAAUGGAAUUCCUGGUGUAGCGGUGAAAUGCGCAGAUAUCAGGAGGAACACCAGUGGCGAAGGCAGAUCUCUGGGCCGUAACUGACGCUGAGGAGCGAAAGCAUGGGGAGCGAACAGG